UCUGAUGAACACUAUGGACCUUCUUCAAAAAAGUGGAUCUAUGAACAUUUGUUCUUAAUUCUGCAUGCCAAUUGGCAGAAUUUGAGAGGAUCCCUUCUCUAAUGCCCAUCCCUAAACCUCUUAAGAUUAAAAUCACCUUGGGGCUCCUGGGUGGCUCAGUCAAUUAAGCUUUCAGCGCUGGGUGUGGAACCUGCUUGGGAUUCUCUCUCUCCUCUCCCUUUGCCCCCCCCCAAAAAAAAGAUUAAAAUCACCCUGAGUUCACAAUUAAAACACCGCCAUCCCUCACUGGGUACUCUGGGGCAAGUUGCCCACUUUCCCUGGAUCUCAUUUUCCCAUCUGUGAAACAAGGGGGUAGGACCAGAUCAUCGGAGGUCCUGUCUAUGAAAUUCCUAAUGCCCUUUCUCAUCUUCCCUGGCUGCCACACUUAGGAUUAGACUUGACCACCGUGGCUUGAAAAUUCAUGACUUUUGGUGACGUUGGGUCUGGCUAUUCUCAGAAGUUCGUUUUUUCUACCUCAAGAAGAAUCUAGUGGCAACACUUGGCUGCCAGCUUCCCACCCUCUCAGGGCAGUUGGUGUAGCCCCUGCAUCCCCCUGGGGGACGCAGAGUGAACAUUCUUAAGCUCUUCUCAUCGGUUGCGUCAGGGGCCUCUCACCCCAGGUCUGGAUGAGGGGAACUCACAGGCCAACUCUCCAGCUCUGGUAGGCCUGAAACCAGGUUCAGGGCGGUGUCUGGGGCUCCUCUGAGAAAUAACUGCUUAUUUCUCUAAAUGUGGUCCUUGUGCCAGGCUGUGGGUUGCAGUGUUCAGUAAUGCUCAGUCUCUUUCCUGCUUUCAGGAGGUUCUCAGCCUGGAGAGAAAAGUUACUGUGUCAGGAUUCCCUGGCUACAAGCUACAGAUGACUCAAUUGACUGGUGUAAAGUCAUCUACUUAUCCAUUCGGAGCUUACUCAACAAAUAUCUACUGAGCACCUACUGUGUACCAGGCAUUGUUCAAGGCACUGCGAGUGCAUGCAGCAAAGUCCCUGCCCUCAAGGUGUUUACAUUCUAAUAGUCCCAGGACUGGACCUCUUGGGCUGAUGGAGGGUUGAAUGGGAGUGGCGAGGGCAUGGGGGGAGUCUGGGUUUGAGGCAGUGGCUCAACCAUGUCCUCAAGAACUAGGACUUUUGCAUCCUUCUGUUCUGCCCUCCAUACAUUAGCUUUUCCCUAGUGGGCUUGGUCCCUCUUGGUCACUAAGUGGCCUUUCGUCACACCCAGGAUCUAGAAGCAGGAGGAUCAGCAUAGCCAGAGUUUCACCUCUGCCCAUGUUAACAGGAGGCAAACUUUUCCCAGAGGCUCCACACAAACUAUCCCUAUAUCCCAUGGACCACAACUGUUGCAUGGCCAUUUCUUGCUGUAAAGGAGUCUGGGAAAGUGGGGACUGUACAAAAGGUUCUAAUCAGUAUUCUCCCCUUGGGCUAGGGAUGGAGCCUCCCUUCUCUGAGCCCAUUACUUUUUGUUAAGAAGGGAGAAGAGGGGAUGGUUGCUGAGUUAGGUGGCACCAAGUGUCUACCACAGAGGCAGACACUGAAACAGACAGAUGACAUUAGUUCUGUCCAUUUCUUUUAAAAAGCAGAUCAGCCCAUGAUGGAUUCUUUUCAAAUCCUUCAAACUGCCUCCACCCUUUCUUUUUCUGUGGUUGGAAAACUAAGAUGUGUUGGAAUUACCCAGGGAGCUUGUUAAAAGUUCGUGUCCUGGGCCCCAACCCCUGAGCUGGGCGGGGAUCCAAGAAUUUGCAUUUUAACAAACUCCUUGGGUAAUUGUGAUGUAGGGGAGCUGAGGCUACACUUUGGAACACUAAGGUAGACAGGAUCAAAACCUCAGAAUGGUUUACAUGAACCUUCCGUGAGCCGGAAACUCUCCCCUCGUUUCCCCCAUGUUUCCCCGCAUACUGUUAUGCAGAAUUUCCUGUCUUCUACAACAUGUGCUCUCUGCCUCCUAGCCUUUAUGUGGGCUUCAGUCCCCUGGCCUUCCUCUCUUGGGCACAGCCUGCCUUGUUCCUGCAAGGAUUUGCGGCUUCCUCCUCUGCUUGCCGCUUCCCACACUCUUGUUAGGAUUCCCCACUCUCUUACCAGACAGUGAGGUCACUGCAUUUCCUCGCCCCCUAGAUCUGCUUGGCCCAGAUCAGGUGCUCAAGGACGUUCGUGUGAAAGUAUGUGUAUGGUCAGAGGGGAUGUGCUGUUGAUUAGUUAUGCCAGGAGGAGGUGGAAUUUGAGCCUAGGCUUGAAGGAGUGGAUUUUUUUUUUUUUUAAGAUUUCGUUUAUUUAUUUGAGAGAGAGAGAACAGAGAGAGAGAGAGCAAGAGAGAGCACAAGCCAGGGGGAGAAGCAGACUCCCUGCUGAGUAGGGAGCCCGAUGCGGGGCUCGAUCUCAGUACCCUGGGAUCAUAACCUGAGCUGAAGGCAGAUGCUUAACCGACUGAGCCACCCAGGUGCUCCUAGGAAUGGAUUUUUUAUGUGUGCCUGCGAUGGAUGGGGCAUUCUAGGCCAAGGGAAGCUUGCGAGAGGAGACAAGAAGGCAGGGAGGUGAGGGCUGUCUCAGGAGGAUUUGACUGGGGGAAGGGCUUGCUUGAGAAGAGGUGUGAGGUAGAACUGGAGAGGUAGGUUGGGGCUAGAUUGGGAUCUUGCGCGUGAGACUGAGGGGUCUACACAGUCAUUAAGAAUCAGGCAGGGAAGGGAGGGAGGAAGGAGGGGAGACAGGAAGAGUAGGGGAAAGAAGGAAAGAAAAUCAAUUGCUUAGGCAAUAGUUUUGGGGCCAGAGGAGGGGCAGAGAUGAAGCUUUUUAGGCUGCCUCCCAUUCCCUCAGUGAAGUGAGAGGUGGCAGUUUCAGAAGCAGCAGUACCAUGGGGUAAAAUCCUGCAUCUUCCAAGUGGAGACUGGACAGUGGGCUGCUGUGUGGGCAGCAGCAGGCCAGGAUGCAGAGGCCAAGAGCACAAGGCUCUGGAGUCUGGCAUCCAAGGUUCAGCUCCUGCCUCUCUGGCACAGGGACUGUGUGAGCCUCAGGAGGUGAUUUCAUUGCCUCAGCCUGUUUUCUCAUCUGUAAUGUGCAAGUACUAACACACCUGUCUGUUUUCGUUUUCUAGUGCCUCCGUAACAUGACCACAAACCAGGUGCCUUAAAACAAUAGAAAUCUAUUCUCGCACAGCUUAAGAGGUCCGAAGUCCAAGAGCAGCAGGCCCACGCUGCCCUCAGAGGCCCUAGGGAGGGAGGAUCCUUCCCCGCCUUUUCCAGUUUCAGGUAGCUCCUAGCAUUCUUUGGCUUGUAGCUCUAUCACUCCGGUCCAUGCCUCGUCUUCUCAUGGCUUUCCUCUCUAUGUGUCUGUGUGUCCUUUCCUGUCUCUUACAAGGACACUUGUCAUUGUUACGGCCCACCCUAAUUCAAUAUGCUCUCAUCUUCAACUUAUCUCAUCUCUACUUUAAUUAUAUCUGCAUAGACCCUAUUUCCAAAUAAGGUCACAUUGUGAGGUUCCAGGUGGACAUGAAUUUGGGGGGACACUAUUUAAUCCACUGUGCUGCCUCAUAGAGCUGUGAGGUCAUGGCCUGUAAAGCACAAGCAAGGCUUAGAGAGUUCUGUUGAGGUAGAGGUGGGAAGCCCAGCUAUUAUGAGCCCCACUUGCUAGAUGUGAAAACUGAGGCUUCAGGGAAACUUUGGGUCCCACUGCUAGUGACAGGAGAAGCAGAUGAAUUGAUUAUUCCAUGAAGGCCAUUCAGCAACUGUAUUUUGGAUGUCUUUGUGCCAGCUCAUGGUGUGGUGGAGAAGAUUAUUUCAUCAUCCUCUUUAUCAUCAUUGCCAUGACAGGCGGGGAAGUCAGUGUAGUGAAACCUUUUGAGAAGAGGGUACCUGCCCCAGGAGGGCUUGUGAGAGGAAGUACUGUCUUAGCCAAGAUGGAGGAGUGCUAAGGACUCAGCAAGGGGAACAGUGAAAGACAGGAGCUAAGAUAGUUUUCAGUGGCAUGCGCAAAGGUCUGGAGGCCACCCUGGGCUUCCUGUGGGCCUGGGCUGUCAAUGACACAGAGUCAGUAGACCUUCAGUUACAUAUUUAUGAAACGAGGGGCACGUGGGUGGCUCAGUCAGUUAAGCGUCUGACUCUUGGUUUUGGCUCAGGUCAUGAUCUCAGAGUUGUGGGAAUCUGGUGUUAGACUCCACACUCAACAGUCUGCUUGAGAUUCUCUCCCUCUCCCUCUGACUCUUCCCCUGCUCACACUCACUCUCUCUCUCAACAAAUAAAUAAAAUAUUUUUAAAAAGUAUUUAUGAAAUGAAUUACAGAUGGGGAAACGAAGGCACCAAGGUGCUUCAGGUCCCAUAGCAAAUACUGGUAGAACUAAGACGUGAACUGAACUCCCCUGUCUCUCUAUCCAGGUCUCUUCCUGUCUGCCCUGGGUACCGGGUCCUGCAGAAACAACUCCCUUCCUUCCUGCUAAGCUGCAUCCUGGCCUUGCUCAGACAACAGAGGAGUCAGGUGGAGCAGGGAUAGAAGCACAGACCUUUGGGUUCCACAGCCAAGACUGCGUCGAUCCCAAGCUAGACUUCCAUGAGGCUCUGGCUAAAUUGGGCCCAAAUUCCCACAGGGCAACUCUGGGCUGAAGCGGAGGGGAAAGGUCCCCCCUUUUAGAGCAGACAUCUGUUCUCUUGCUCAGUAAUGUUACUUGCCUGGACUUGUUGUUUUUCAAUAAGAACAACAACCUAAAAGAAUGGCAAGUAUAAGGAGGUAUUUACUAAGAACAAGCACUUAAUCUGCUUCAUCUUAUUUUAUCCACCCAAGAACUAUUUCAGGGUAGGACCAGGCUCACAGAGCUGGGGAGAAGCAGAGCCUCAAGAAUCCAACCCCCCUUCGCCCCCCCCCCACAGCCCUUCCUUGCCACAGUCGUGGGGGAGGGGCAGGCUCACAGAGUCUCUUCCCUCUCUCCCUCAGAAGGUACCAACUCUGAAUGGGACCAAAUGCUUGGGUCCGGUGCGCCUGGGUGGCACAGCGGUUAAGCGUCUGCCUUCGGCUCAGGGCGUGAUCCCGGCGUUGUGGGAUCAAGCCCCACAUCAGGCUCUUCCGCUAUGAGCCUGCUUCUUCCUCUCCCACUCCCCCUGCUCGUGUUCCCUCUCUCGCAGGCUGUCUCUAUCUCUGUCAAAUAAAUAAAAUCUUAAAAAAAAAAACAACAAACCAAAAAAAACACAAAUGCUUGGGUUCAAAGAUGAGGCCAACUCUCUUGGGAAUCUUCCUGUGAGAGCAAAAAGGCCACAUGCAACAGGAUCUAGAAUCAUCCAACGUGACCUGGAAUGGAGUGGUGGUGUCAGAACCAUGCAGCGGAGUCAGGCUCCUUCCACAAGGGGCUUUUGAAGCUUGGGCGGCUAUGAGGGGGACAUUUGGUUCCCUCACAGAAAGUGUGGACAAAGACACCAUGAUUCUGUGGUCAGAAGUUUGGAAAGGGCCCAAUGGGAACCACUUAUCUCUGUUCUCUGAUAACUGGGGCCUCACCUGCAAAGACCUGAAGGUUGGUGAUUACUUCAACUGCUGGAAUCAUCCGAAGGCCUCUUCAGUCCUUUGGUAUUUGUGGUGGUUAAUGCUGAUUAUCGGCUGGGACUGUCAGCAGGAGCACGUGCCCUCUCCAUGUGGCUUGGGUUUCCUCAGCACCAGAGCCUCAAUGUAGUCCAAGCUCAGGGAUCUAAAAGGGAUUGUCCCAGCCAGGGUGAGGAAGGUGCGUUACUUUUAUGACCUUGCUUUAGAAGUCAUGCAGAGCCCCUUCAGUGCAUUUUACUGGUUACGAGUGAGUUGCAGACCCACCCAGUUUCGAGGGGAGGGGAAUUAGACUCCAUCUCUCUCUCUCUCUUUUUAUUUUAAGUUAUUUAUUUAAGUAAUCUCUGUACCCCACAUGGGGCUCGAACUCACAACCUGGAGAUCAAGAGUCAGGGGCUCUUCCGACUGAGCCAGCGAGCUGCCCGUAGACUCCACUUCUUGAUGAGGGCAUGGCUAGUUCUCAAAGACCAUGGAGGACAGACGGUAUCAUUGGGCCUAUCUCUGGAAGAUACAAUCUGCGGAGAUAGCUAGCAGAGUGUUUACUAUGUGCCAGGAAUUGAAUUAACUCAUCUUGUCUCCAAACCCCACCCCAUCCAAAGAAUUCUUUUGGGUAUAUGUUAUAUCUAUCUAUAUCUACCUAUCUAUAUAUUUAUUUCUCUCCAAGUAUUAUAUAUAAUACUAAUAUAUAUGUACAUUAAUAAAUUAUAUAUAUGUAC